GGUUCCGAAUGUAGUGGUAUCACGUUCGCUUCAAUCGCGAAAGGUCUCCGGUUCGAUCCCGGACGGAACCA
rnacentral:tRNA from 1 species